rnacentral:ncRNA from 2 species
AUGAAAGUAAUGGGAGAGGUCUUUUCUGUUACAGGAAGGGAGCCGAAGGGGCAAGAUGUAUAAUACAUUUAAACUCUCAGGCAAAAGGACCAUUACCGGACA